UGUGGUUUUACUCUCCUUGAUGCUGGACCUAUACCCAACCUCUUCCGUCUUUUGUGUAUCAAUGUUUUUAUCUGUAAAAUGUCCAUUUAUGUAUCUAAUUAUCUAUAUCUAUUUAUCGUUAAUACAGUACAGUAAUUAUCUCUAAUAUACACAAAAAUCUACCUUGGUUGUGACGGCGAAGGUGGUUGAAGCUUGCAUCUGAUUGGUUAUUUUUUCAGUUCGUAUUAUACGCUGGGUGAACUGGGAGUGCCUGGGUAUCGAACUACCUACCCAUGGAACAGGAGGUGAGGACUGUAUCCACUUGAUUUGCUACACUCCAAAUUACAAAAGUGAGGAGGAGUGUUCCACGUAUAACUUUUGACAGCUGGGCCAGAGCACGGUGGAUGGUCUGGACGAUACUGAUGACAGAGUAGUGCUCCAGGUGUAAGAAUGCUCUGACUGGGGGUUCUGAUGAUGCACCAGAUAGAUAUAUGUACAGUAAACCCUUGAAAGUCUGGAAAAGGGGGAAAUGGGGUCUGGACUUUAACCAAGUGGAGUUUCUGGGAGCCACUGUUAAAGGACAAACCAAAUCAGAAGGUAAUCUCAUCCCCUCCCUCCUUAAAGAAUGUCUGCACCAGCUUUCAAGUCAGCCAAGGAGAACUCAUAGAACUUGGACCAGCCUUGUGGGAUGUAGGUCCUACGCUCCUGAACAACAGCAUGGAACCAAGCCAAGACAAAGAGGGCUUGAGCACGGUUAACAUUAUUCCCACGGGCAAUGAUCUCUGGAGACCAUGAAUCGUAUGUCCGAUGAAGAUUUUUCUUGAUUCCUGCUGGUGCCUGGGAGAAAACAUAGAGGCUAUGGGAAAUUCAGACUCUUACCAUGUUAUAAUUUAUUGAGUUAAAGUUUUAGAGCAAUUUAAUCAAGACUAUCUUAAUUUUACUGUACAGAUUAUAUAUGAGAACAGUAUAUGAAGUGGAAAUCUAUCAAGGGUCUGUCUUGAGCCCCCUUCUGUUCAUCAUAGUACUAGAGGCAGUAUCACAAGAUUUUAGGACUAGUCUCCCCUGGGAGUUGUUGUAUGCUGAUAACUUAGUGCUGAUAGCAUAUAGUAUUGAAGAGAUAGUAUAGAAAUUUAUGAAAUGGAAGGAUGGGAUGGAAUCAACAAGUAUAAGAAUAAAUAUGGCAAAAACAAGAAUGAUGAUUACUGGCAUGAGUGAAGGACCUGAAAAGGAAAGUGGCCAUGUGCUGUCUGUAAGAAUGGUGUUGACAAACUUAAUAAUAUGUAGUUUGUAAAGUUGGUACACAAGAGGUGCAGUGGUGUAAGUAGCAGACAGCAGGAUGGUGGUGACGUAAGUAACUGAUAUGCAGGUAAUCACUUAGUCUUGGCAAGGCUGGAAAAGCUCAACAUCAGUGACAUUUAUCUGAAUUGUGUUGAGUUCUGCUACCUGGAUAGCGUGAUCAGUGCCAAAGCUAGCUCAGUUACUGGAGUCAGAAGUGGCUGAAAAAGGUUAAGGGAACUAUUGCUUUUGUUGAAAGUUGUACAUAGACAACUUAAGAAGUGUGAUGUAGUGAAACAUGAACAGUUAAAGAGGAUAAUAUUUGUAAGCUUGAGUGAAUUUGAAUGAAAAUGGUGAGAGGAUGUUUAACCUGACACAGAGAUAGGAAUCCCACUUCAGGGUGAAGAGGGCAGCUGGGUAUUGAGAAUACCGAGGAGAUUUUGCCUAGAUGUAGACCGAGAUGGUUUGAGCAUGAGAAGAGAAUGGAGGAGACCAAUUAAUUGGUCAAGAGAUGCAUGGGUUUAAAUGUGGAAGGGAGGAGAACUAGGAAUAGGUCAAGAAUGACAUGGGGGGGGGGGAGAGAUUGUGAGAAAUGACUAUCAGGUAAUCACAGCUAACCCAUGCAAGCGCUGAAAAUGGCUGUACAUGUACUGUAAAAUGACGACGGUGAUGAUGGAAUUAUCAACAAUGUCAAUGUUUACCACUGAACAAGCAAUGCACAAUUUGCAUCUACUGACAUUGAUUCAAAUCUUUUAUCUCUUUUCCAAAUUAAAAGAAAGUCACUUCACACAAUCUUUAAGACUUGUUUGUUUACCACUUGUUCAUUGACUUGAAGUUACUCUUUAUAUUCAGUGUCACCAAUUCAAUGUCUUCGAUGCUAAAACAGCAUUUUUCCAUUAAUUGAAUCAACUGUUACAAUAAAAAAAAAGUUUCAAGGGUUCUAACAAUGGCAUAUUAACAUCAAAAGCUAU
rnacentral:lncRNA from 1 species